rnacentral:ncRNA from 2 species
UAUAAUUGAGUGCAAUCAGAUGCCCGCAAGGGAUAAUAGGGAAAUGAGUGAGAUUCUCAUACGGUCCCGCCACUGUGUUGGAGGAAUCGUCAGCCAAUAUGCCACUGGGAUACUGGGAAGGCGGCUGACGGUGUUGAUACCUGAGUCAGAAGACCUGUCUGUUGCAUAAGAUUCAC